rnacentral:rRNA from 1 species
AUGUGCCGGUACCUCGGCGAUGAGCGAUGGAGUGAAGGCGAGCUUGGUGAGCUGGCACGCUUGCUAGAGCUUCGGUUUGCUGCUGUGAGCUUUUCCUUGGCUCAUGCCCGAAUGCGUGUGACAUAUGCGCUGGCUUCCACGCUUGAGGCUUCCAUGAGGUACAAGUGUGCAACAUCGAACAAGCCCUGGAAAAUGGUGCCACGAGGCCUAUGCAGAAAACCUAUAAGGGACAGGCAGUUGUACUGCCGAUGCAUUUCAAAGGGGAAGCAACAUAAUGUCAGUUACCCCCUCCGAUCCAUAUUACUUGUCUUAGAUUUGUCAGUUACAAGACAGGGAAAGUAG